rnacentral:sRNA from 1 species
GCCGGCUGUGGUGGCACACACUUGUAAUCCUUGCAACUAGGGAGGCUGAGGCAGGAGGAUUGCGAGUUCAAAGCCAGCCUCAGCAAUUUUGUGAGGCACUGAGCAACUCAGCGAGACCCUGUCUUUA